CUUCAGAGAAUUAUCUUGUUUUGGCUUGCAUCCCUUUGGGAAACAUUUCAGAAACGCUUCAAUAUAUGCAAUUUGCAACACAUAUUCAUUUGUUUUGAUCAGCAUUUGUUUUACGGUGCUGCCAGAAUAGUCUAUACAAGCGCAUAUUUCAGUGGCUGAAAAUGAGUGGCGGAAGAAAAAAACAAAUCACCACCAGUUUGAACGGCUCCUUGAAACAAUGGAAGCGAACGUAGACAUUGCUCGAGAUCUUUGUGGAGGCAGUUCUAAUAUAAUUCCGGUGUAGGAAAAGUUGGAGGAAUCCAGAGAGGAACUUAAUGCACGGAGACCACCAAUGCAUCUAGGUUCAGAAUGGCAGAAAUUAAAUUACAGGUUUGGAUUGACAUGAGGGGAAAGGUAAAGAAAACCCUAGCACACAACAAGCGAGAAUUUAGAGCAACAGGUGGUGGCCCCAAUACAAUAAAGCUAUCGACGCCGCUACAACAAGAAAUCGACGCUAAAAGUGAAUUACAUGUUGCAUUACAUGAAUAACAAAAAUUGUUUUGCUAAAAAAAAAGUGAAAUUCGUGCAUGACUCUCUACGGAAUUUCAUAGAUUUUCUAAUAAUUAUAUUUUUUGUACAGCAAAUUGUUCCACGCUGUCGUUUUUAUAACACAUGCAUGCGUGCC